rnacentral:rRNA from 1 species
UUAGAGUUUGAUCCUGGCUCAGGAUGAACGCUAGCGGGAGGCUUAACACAUGCAAGUCGAGGGGCAGCACGAUGUAGCAAUACGUUGGUGGCGACCGGCGCACGGGUGAGUAACACGUAUGCAACCUACCCUGUACAGGGGGAUAACCCGGAGAAAUUCGGACUAAUACCGCAUAAUGAUAUUUGAGGGCAUCCUUAGAUAUUUAAAGCUUCGGUGGUACGGGAUGGGCAUGCGGAACAUUAGCUAGUUGGCAGGGUAAUGGCCUACCAAGGCAAUGAUGUUUAGGGGACCUGAGAGGGUGAUCCCCCACACUGGUACUGAGACACGGACCAGACUCCUACGGGAGGCAGCAGUGAGGAAUAUUGGUCAAUGGGCGGAAGCCUGAACCAGCCAUCCCGCGUGCAGGAAGACGGCCCUAUGGGUUGUAAACUGCUUUUCCAGGGGGCGAAACUUUCCGAUGUAUCGGGAUUUGACGGUACCCUGGGAAUAAGCAUCGGCUAACUCCGUGCCAGCAGCCGCGGUAAUACGGAGGAUGCGAGCGUUAUCCGGAUUUAUUGGGUUUAAAGGGUGCGUAGGCGGAUCGAUAAGUCAGUGGUGAAACCCUGCAGCUUAACUGUAGACUUGCCGUUGAUACUGUUGGUCUUGAGUGUGGUCAAGGUAGGCGGAAUGUGUAAUGUAGCGGUGAAAUGCUUAGAUAUUACACAGAACACCGAUUGCGAAGGCAGCUUACUGGGCCAUUACUGACGCUGAUGCACGAAAGCGUGGGGAUCGAACAGGAAUUAGAUACCCUGGUAGUCCACGCCGUAAACGAUGCACACUUGGCAUUUUGGGAAUCGACCCCUAAAGUGUCGUAGCUAACGCGUUAAGUGUGCCGCCUGGGAAGUACGAGCGCAAGCUUAAAACUCAAAGGAAUAGACGGGGAUCCGCACAAGUGGUGGAUCAUGUGGUUUAAUUCGACGAUAAGCGAGGAGCCUCACCAGGGCUUGAAAUCCAGCUGCAUUAUCCAGAAAUGGAUAAGCCUUCGAGGGUGCUGGACAGGUGUUGCAUGGUUGUCGUCAGCUCGUGCCGUAAGGUGUUCCGUUAAGUCGGGAAACGAGCGCAACCCCUUUCGUGUGUUA